AACAUGUAGAGUUCUGUCAUCGGUGUUAAUCGUGUAGGUGAGUAUUUGUAAAAUAAAAGGCUAUAUUUUUCAUUCUCUGCUAUCAGUCGAAUACCUACUCAACUAUUUUGUU